ACCUCGAUAGCUCAAUGGAUAGAGCGCCGACCCGCUAAGUCGGAGGUUAUCGGAUCGAGGCCGAUUCGAGGUA
rnacentral:tRNA from 1 species